ACCGGGAGAGGCGAGAGGUACUUCUGGGGUAGGGGUAAAAUCCUGUAAUCCUAGAAGGACCACCGGUGGCGAAGGCGUCUCGCUAGAACGGAUCCGACGGUGAGGGACGAAGCCCUGGGUCGCAAACGGGAUUAGAUACCCCGGUAGUCCAGGGUGUAAACGCUGCAGACUUGGUGUUGGGGCCCUACGGGGGCGUUCAGUGCCGGAGAGAAGUUGUUAAGUCUGCUACUUGGGGAGUACGUCCGCAAGGAUGAAACUUAAAGGAAUUGGGCGGGGGAGCAACCCGCAACGGGAGGAGCGUGUCGGUUUAAUUGGAUUCAACAACCGGAAAACUCACCAGCGGCGACUGUUACAUGAAAGUCAGGCCGAUGACCUUACUAGAUUUUCAGAGGGGUGGUGCAUGG
rnacentral:rRNA from 1 species